AUUGAACGCUGGCGGCAGGCCUAACACAUGCAAGUCGAGCGGAUGAAGGGAGCUUGCUCCUGGAUUCAGCGGCGGACGGGUGAGUAAUGCCUAGGAAUCUGCCUGGUAGUGGGGGAUAACGUCCGGAAACGGGCGCUAAUACCGCAUACGUCCUGAGGGAGAAAGUGGGGGAUCUUCGGACCUCACGCUAUCAGAUGAGCCUAGGUCGGAUUAGCUAGUUGGUGGGGUAAAGGCCUACCAAGGCGACGAUCCGUAACUGGUCUGAGAGGAUGAUCAGUCACACUGGAACUGAGACACGGUCCAGACUCCGACGGGAGGCAGCAGUGGGGAAUAUUGGACAAUGGGCGAAAGCCUGAUCCAGCCAUGCCGCGUGUGUGAAGAAGGUCUUCGGAUUGUAAAGCACUUUAAGUUGGGAGGAAGGGCAAUAAGUUAAUACCUUGCUGUUUUGACGUUACCAACAGAAUAAGCACCGGCUAACUUCGU
rnacentral:rRNA from 1 species